rnacentral:rRNA from 1 species
GAUGAACGCUGGCGGCGUGCCUAAUACAUGCAAGUCGAGCGAACAGACGAGGAGCUUGCUCCUCUGACGUUAGCGGCGGACGGGUGAGUAACACGUGGAUAACCUACCUAUAAGACUGGGAUAACUUCGGGAAACCGGAGCUAAUACCGGAUAAUACAUUGAACCGCAUGGUUCAAUAGUAAAAGACGGUUUUGCUGUCACUUAUAGAUGGAUCCGCGCCGCAUUAGCUAGUUGGUAAGGUAACGGCUUACCAAGGCAACGAUGCGUAGCCGACCUGAGAGGGUGAUCGGCCACACUGGAACUGAGACACGGUCCAGACUCCUACGGGAGGCAGCAGUAGGGAAUCUUCCGCAAUGGGCGAAAGCCUGACGGAGCAACGCCGCGUGAGUGAUGAAGGUCUUCGGAUCGUAAAACUCUGUUAUUAGGGAAGAACAAAUGUGUAAGUAACUAUGCACGUCUUGACGGUACCUAAUCAGAAAGCCACGGCUAACUACGUG